rnacentral:rRNA from 1 species
AUUGAACGCUGGCGGUAGGCCUAACAAAUGCAAGUCGAGCGAGCGGCGGACGGGUGAGUAAUGUAUGGGGAACUGCCCGAUAGAGGGGGAUAACUACUGGAAACGGUAGCUAAUACCGCAUACUAUCGGAUGAACCCAUAUGGGAUUAGCUAGUAGGUGGGGUAAAGGCUCACCUAGGCGACGAUCACUAGCUGGUCUGAGAGGAUGAUAAGCAACACUGGGACAGAGAGACUGACCGGACUCCUACGAGAGGCAGCAGUGGGGAAUAUUGCACAAUGGGCGCAAGCCUGAGGCAGCCAUGCCGCGUGUAUGAAGAAGGCCUUAGGGUUGUAAAGUACUUUCAGCGGGGAGGCGUUAACCGCAGAAGAAGCACCGGCUAGCUCCAUGCCAGCAGCCGCGGUAAGAC